rnacentral:rRNA from 1 species
GCCUACUGCGUGGUGGCGACGGAGGCGGCGGGGCGCGAGGUGCCCCUGGCCUUCCUGGAGAGGAUCAAGGAGGAGUUCAACAAGCGAUACGCCGGAGGCAAGGCCGCCACCGCCACCGCCAACAGCCUCACCAAAGAUUUUGGGCCGAGGCUGAAGGAGCAGAUGCAGUACUGCAUGGAUCACCCCGAGGAGGUGAGCAGGCUGUCCAAUGUGCAGGCCCAGGUCUCAGAGGUCAAGGGCAUCAUGAUGGAAAACAUCGACAAGGUGAUUGAUCGCGGGGAGCAAAUCGACGGCCUGGUGACGAGGACCGAGCAGCUCCACGACCAGGCCAUGGAUUUCAGGACUGAGGGCACGCGGAUCCGCCGAAGGAUGUGGUACCAGAACAUGAAGAUCAAGCUCAUCGUCGCCGGCAUUGUCGUCGCCAUCAUCCUCAUCAUCGUCCUCUCCAUCUGCCAUCGGGACCACUGCAAGUAG